rnacentral:lncRNA from 1 species
UCCGCCUCCUGCGGCUUCCAACUCAUAGGGUUGCGUCCUGAGCUCUCCGUCUCGCUGGGUAGACAGCGGCUCACUGCCAUACGACUGCAGCCGCUGCUGCCGGCCCGAACUCCGUGCGGCUUCUUGAGGGCGCGAGUGGCACUGGCGCUGAUGGCCGAUGAGACAGAUCUCCCUCUGUUGCCCAGACUGGAGUACAGUGGAAUGAUCACAGCUUACUGCAGCCUCGACUUCCUGGGCUCAAGCGAUCCUCCCACCUUGGGCUCUGGAGUAGCUGGGACCACAGAGAACUGUUGUGAAGAUUAAAGCAGAUCACAGAGACUUAAAGCUCUUGAAAAAAAAAAAGAAGAAGAGAAUCAGCCUUUUGGUCAAUAGAACUGUGCUUGAGAAGGUUUCCAACCAUUGCUCCCAUUGGUUUUGCUGAUGAAAUGAAAGUUGCCAUUGCAACUAGCCACCUUAUGGAAUUUAUCUAUUCCUACACUGAAAGUUGAUUGUAUUGAUCUCUUUUCAAGCAGAGGAAAGGCUGACGACAUGUUGAUCUUUUUCAUUGGUUACGAUCUCGGCGAUACUGAACAUGUGUCCUACAAGUUUCCCUACUGGCUUGGUGCUGAUAUUGGGGUGCCACAACCGGAUGACCUUAUCAUCUCCUGAAAAGGAGGACAGGGAAAGAUUGUUGGUUUUCUGAGGUGGUCAGAGUUUCAAAUGUAUCUCUCACUGUAUCAUACCCGUAUCUUUCUUCGAACAGCAAAUCACAGUCCGUUUCUGGCAGGAUGCAUUAUUCUGUGAUUGAUGUGCUAAGGGGCUGGCCUUGGUUUGGAUCUGCUGCUUCUUGUGAAGGCUGUUUUGUAAAGACUGUAUUUACAUACACAAAUGUGAAUUCUCAUAAAUAUUUUAUGAGUUCUUUUCUUGACUCAAUCCUUUCCUAUACUUUGAUGCAUUAAUGUAUUAUUUAUACUUUAUUUACUUCCAAAGAUAUUUAAGGCAGCUGUUCUUUUGUUUUCAUUCUUAAAUUAUGCAA